AUGAACGCUCGCUACAGGCUUAACACAUGCAAGUCGCGGGGCAGCAUGGGGGUUGCUUGCAAUCCCCGAUGGCGACCGGCGCACGGGUGAGUAACGCGUAUCCAACCUGCCCUUCACCACGGGAUAACCCGGCGAAAGUCGGACUAAUACCGUAUGUUGUCCAUUGACGGCAUCCGAUUUGGACGAAAGGCUUGGCGGUGAGGGAUGGGGAUGCGUCCGAUUAGCCAGACGGCGGGGUAACGGCCCACCGUGGCUACGAUCGGUAGGGGUUCUGAGAGGAAGGUCCCCCACACUGGAACUGAGACACGGUCCAGACUCCUACGGGAGGCAGCAGUGAGGAAUAUUGGUCAAUGGGCGUAAGCCUGAACCAGCCAAGUAGCGUGCAGGAUGACGGCCCUAUGGGUUGUAAACUGCUUUUAUGCGGGGAUAAAGUGGCCCACGUGUGGGCUUUUGCAGGUACCGCAUGAAUAAGGACCGGCUAAUUCCGUG
rnacentral:rRNA from 1 species